UUACUUACCUGGCAGGGGAGAGAGCGUGAUAAAAAAGGCAGUUCUCCCAGGACGAGGCUAUCCCAUUGCACUUUGGGUGUGCUGACGCCUGCGAUGUCCCCAAAUGCGGGAUACUUGACUGCAAAAUUUGUGGUAGUGGGGGACUGCGUUCGCGCUCAA